rnacentral:rRNA from 1 species
GCUCAGUAACACGUGGAUAACCUACCCUUAGGACUGGGAUAACCUUGGGAAACUGAGGACAAUACUGGAUAGGCAAUUAUUCCUGUAAUGGUUUUUUGUUUAAAUGUUUUUUCGCCUAAGGAUGGGUCUGCGGCCGAUUAGGUAGUUGGUUAGGUAAUGGCUUACCAAGCCGUUGAUCGGUACGGGUUGUGAGAGCAAGAGCCCGGAGAUGGAACCUGAGACAAGGUUCCAGGCCCUACGGGGUGCAGCAGGCGCGAAACCUCCGCAAUGUGAGAAAUCGCGACGGGGGGAUCCCAAGUGCCAUUCUUAACGGGAUGGCUUUUCAUUAGUGUAAAGAGCUUUUGGAAUAAGAGCUGGGCAAGACCGGUGCCAGCCGCCGCGGUAACACCGGCAGCUCUAGUGGUAGCAAUUUUUAUUGGGCCUAAAGCGUCCGUAGCCGGUUUAAUAAGUCUCUGGUGAAAUCCUGUAGCUUAACUGUGGGAAUUGCUGGAGAUACUAUUAGACUUGAGACCGGGAGAGGUUAGAGGUACUCCCAGGGUAGAGGUGAAAUUCUGUAAUCCUGGGAGGACCGCCUGUUGCGAAGGCGUCUAACUGGAACGGUUCUGACGGUGAGGGACGAAAGUUAGGGGCGCGAACCGGAUUAGAUACCCGGGUAGUCCUAACUGUAAACGAUGCGGACUUGGUGUUGGGGUGGCUUUGAGCUGCUCCAGUGCCGAANGGAAGCUGUUAAGUCCGCCGCCUGGGAAGUACGGUCGCAAGACUGAAACUUAAAGGAAUUGGCGGGGGAAGCAC